AUUGUGACAGAACACUGGUAGAAGAAGGAUAGAGACAAAAUGGUGACCCUUAAAAAUGGAGAAAGAUGUAGGGAAAAAUUCAAUGGGGAAUUUGAAAGCAGUGGCUGUCAUCUCCGGGAACGAUAGUGUGAAAGGGUCCUUACAAUUCAUCCAGCAAUCCAACGGUGGUACCCAUGUGAGAGGAAGAAUAAUUGGUCUAGCUCCAGGUCUCCACGCUUUCCAUAUUCAUGCCUUAGGUGAUACCACUAACGGCUGCAAUUCCACUGGACCUCAUUUUAAUCCACUUAAGAAAGAUCAUGGAGCUCCCACGGAUGAAGUACGUCAUGCGGAUGAUUUAGGCAACAUUGUUGCUGGUCCUGAUGGGGUGGCGGAGAUAUCAAUUUCAGAUAUCCAGAUUCCUCUUAGUGGAGUACACUCCAUCUUGGGGAGGGCAGUAGUUGUGCAUGCUGUCCUGAUGAUCUGGGAAGAGGUGGACAUGAACUUAGUAAGACAACUGGAAACGCAGGUGCAAGAGUUGGCUGUGGCGUUAUUGGGCUUCAAUCAUCUGUCUAAUGUUUGUGUUACUCAGUUAAUCAUGUUUAACUAGCAAUACUCUCAAAUGUCUCAAAGAGCUGAUUAAUAAAAUAGUAGUGAUUUACCUCUCAGCUCAAGUGUUUGAACCUUAGUUACAUUUUGCUAGUGAAAAUAAUGAGUUACUUU